rnacentral:rRNA from 1 species
UACGGAGGGUGCAAGCGUUGCUCGGAAUUAUUGGGCGUAAAGCGCACGUAGGCGGUUCGUUAAGUCGGAUGUGAAAGCCCUCGGCUCAACUGAGGAAGUGCACCCGAAACUGGCGAGCUUGAGUACGAAAGAGGAUCGCGGAAUUCCCGGUGUAGAGGUGAAAUUCGUAGAUAUUCGGAAGAACACCAGUGGCGAAGGCGGCUGACUGGACAUGUAUUGACGCUGAGGUGCGAAAGCGUGGGGAGCAAACAGGG